CGUAGCCAUGUCCAGGACAAUGUCGGCUUUGAGGUCUUUCCUGGCAUAGUAGACCUGUCCAGAAAAAAACAUGGAAUAUCUUUGUUGAUCUGUGAGCGAGAAGUAUAAUAAGUGGGAGGUGUAAUAUUUUCUGGGAACAUUCUAGAGGGAGAAACUUGAGACAAAACAAGACUGACCUGUUUGACGGCUCCUCUAAACCCACCAAGCACACCAGCUGCACCACCGCAGUCUCGCUUCAUGCCGGGCAUCCCAGUCUGUCAGAAACAGUCAAACUCUCUUUAGUACAAGAGGUAACAUCCUACAGCUACAGUCAAACUCUCUUUAGUACAAGAGGUAACAUCCUACAGCUACAGUCAAACUCUCUUUAGUACAAGAGUAA